GAUGAAGAACGUAGCGAAAUGCGAUAAGUAAUGUGAAUUGCAGAAUUCAGUGAAUCAUCGAAUCUUUGAACGCACAUUGCGCCCGCCAGUAUUCUGGCGGGCAUGCCUGUUCGAGCGUCAUUUCAACCAUCAAGCCCCCCGGCUUGUGUUGGGGACCUGCGGCUGCCGCAGGCCCUGAAAAGCAGUGGCGGGCUCGCUGUCACACCGAGCGUAGUAGAUCUCAUCUCGCUCAGGGCGUGCUGCGGGUUCCGGCCGUUAAACCACCUUCAUAACCCAAGGUUGACCUCGGAUCAGGUAGGAAGACCCGCUGAACUUAAGCAUAUCAUAAGCGGAGGA
rnacentral:misc_RNA from 1 species